UGAAUUUUGGUGUAUGAUGCAAACCGGGGCCAUUACACUGCUAAUAUAUCUAAGCAAUGCUUGUCAA
rnacentral:tRNA from 1 species